rnacentral:rRNA from 1 species
AUUUCCCAAGUAACGGCGAGUGAACAGGAAUAAGCCUAGCGCUAAGGCUCCAUAGGAUGGUCAUCAGCAAUGGUGGUCGUCGUUUUCGACAAGCUAUGGAGCGGUGCAGCGUUACAAACUGCGAUGUUUAGUGAUAUCAUUGGUAGUAGUUGGGCAACUGACUGCUACUCCUAGCCUAGCAUGCAAGUUCCAUUGACUUGGACUAAUUGCAUAUGACUGUGUGUUUGGGGCAACUUGAGCGCACGGUUGAGCCAGAGUGGGUGAAAGCCCUAUACCGUGCAGGCAUUGGUAUCACGAAUUGCAGAGGUGCCGCAAGGUUCCCAUUUUUUAGAGUCAAGUUGCUUGAGGGUGCAACUUUAAGUGCGAGGUAAACUACUCGUAAGGCUAUGCAAUACGGCUACGACACCGAUAGCAAACAAGUACCGUGAGGGAAAGUUG